UGGCAACUGUUUUUUUAUUUCACAACCCUUUUUGGACCAUCCAAGGAUCAAUUUUUCUACACAAGCUCUCAGAACUACAAUCCGAACAUCCCACCCUCAAAAUCCUAAAUAGCAAACAUACCAAACUCAAACUAAGGUUUCCUAAUCCCACUAAAAUCUCACAAAUAAAAACAUAACACAACCUCAGGUAAUAAACAGAAAAAGCAUACAAAUCGAAAAGUACAAGGUCCUUUAGGAGUUGCUUUCGCCGAAGCUUCCAAGAUCCACCAAAGUUCCUGGCGCAAUGGGGCUAAGAGCUCAGCCUGCUGUCAAAAUAUUCAAGAGAAAAAAUAAGCUUUCAAAGGUUGGUCCUUUAAAUGAAACAUCUUCCUGAUUUUUAAACAUUCAUAUAACACUCAUAUAUUUGUUUCCAUUAUUAUGAUUGUUGAUGUCCUGUGCCAUAUUCAUCUACCAUGCAACUGUUAAAACCCUUUUCUAAUCUAAUGAUCAUCACAACUAAGUGGUCCAAAUAACUCAUUUAAGUAGUAAUGAUAUUACAAAAAAAAAAUUGUUCUCACUAAAUAAAAAACUUGAUUAUUCUCACUAGAAAACGACUCAAUAUAUGAUGCCAAAAUCAAGAAAAUAUGGGGUGCUUUGUUUAAAACAGGUUGCUGAAAUUUUAUUAAGGCAUGUAAAAUAAUCAAAAUUUUAACAAAUAAGCUAAUACGGGUGUACUAAAAUUAAUAGGUUAUUUUCAUCUACAUUCGUGUGUUUACGACUAGGAAACGGUAAUGAUAGCCUGACUUUCUCUAUUUCAGCCCUUUGGCCAAAAAAUCAAAGUAAUUUUAGACUUUGUUAUACUUUCCUGGGUAUUGUCUUUCCUUCGCUAUGACUUUCUCGAGCAAAGUUAGAUUCGCGCUCUCUACAUUAGAAAAUCAAAAUCAAAAUCAAUCUCCUUUUCACUAACUAACAAAACAGGUCUCUUUAAAAUAGAAAUAAGGACGUAAACUUUUUUUUUAUUUCGCUUGAAACCACCUUCGUCAUUUUGGUUCCACCGUCAAUAGGCCCUGCGCCGCGGGGGGGGGGGGGGGGGGG
rnacentral:lncRNA from 1 species